CAUGUCAGCGCGCUUUGCUGACGUGGACACAAAUCGUGCUUAUGUGGGCGCGAUUUGUUGCCACAUCAGCAAAGCGCGCUGACGUGG
rfam:Gossypium raimondii Chr02_contig_196, whole genome shotgun sequence.